UACAGAGGGUGCGAGCGUUAAUCGGAAUUACUGGGCGUAAAGCGCACGUAGUCGGCUUUGCAAGUCAGACGUGAAAUCCCUCGGCUUAACCGGGGAACUGCGUCUGAUACUGGAUGGCUAGAGGUUGGGAGAGGGAUGCGGAAUUCCAGGUGUAGCGGUGAAAUGCGUAGAUAUCUGGAGGAACACCGGUGGCGAAGGCGGCAUCCUGGACCAAUUCUGACGCUGAGGAGCGAAAGCCAGGGGAGCAAACGGGG
rnacentral:rRNA from 1 species